rnacentral:rRNA from 1 species
GAUGAACGCUGACAGAAUGCUUAACACAUGCAAGUCGAUGGGGAAGUGGUGCUUGCACCAUGGUAACCAUGGCGGACGGGUGAGUAACGCGUAAGGAACUUGCCUGCGGGACUGGGAUAACAGCAGGAAACUGCUGAUAAUACCGGAUAAGGUCAUUAAGCUGCAUAGCUUAGUGAUGAAAGGAGACGCCUGCGGAGAGCCUUGCGUCCUAUUAGCUAGUUGGAGGGGUAACGGCCCACCAAGGCGAAGAUAGGUAGCCGGCCUGAGAGGGUGGACGGCCACAAGGGGACUGAGAUACGGCCCUUACUCCUAAGGGAGGCAGCAGUGGGGAAUAUUGGACAAUGGGGGCAACCCUGAUCCAGCAAUUCUGUGUGCACGAAGACGGUUUUCGGAUUGUAAAGUGCUUUCAGCAGGGAAGAAGGAAGUGACGGUACCUGCAGAAGAAGCGACGGCUAAAUACGUG